rnacentral:misc_RNA from 1 species
GAUGAAGAACGCAGCGAGAUGCGAUAAGUAAUGUGAAUUGCAGAAUUCAGUGAAUCAUCGAAUCUUUGAACGCACAUUGCGCCCAUUAGUAUUCUAGUGGGCAUGCCUGUUCGAGCGUCAUUUCAACCCUCAAGCCUUAGUUGCUUGGUGUUGGGAGCUUAUCUUGCCGAAAGGCGGGACAACUCCUUAAAUUUAUCGGCGGAGUCGCGGUGACCCCAAGCGUAGUAAAUUAUUUUUUCCUCGCUUUAGGUGUUAACGCUGGCUUUUCUAGCCGUUAAACCCCCCCUAAUAUUUUAAUGGUUGACCUCGGAUCAGGUAGGACUACCCGCUGAACUUAAGCAUAUCAAUAAGCGGAGGA